UGGCAUACUCCAUGCAUGGUGGACAUCUAGGGGGAGCUUUAUAAAUACAUAGAUUGUGGAUGACCACCAUUAUAUCCAUUACCUCCACCUUUUGAUUUAUUGUAACCUAUCUAAUUAGUAGCCUUUAACUCAUAAGUUGUGGGUUAGCUUCCUAUCAUUGUAAACCUAUAAAUAGGUGAUUAUCAAAGAAGAAGAUAACAAGUUUUAGAGGCUAAUUUCUAUUGUCU
rnacentral:lncRNA from 1 species